UACGUAGGGUGCAAGCGUUAAUCGGAAUUACUGGGCGUAAAGCGUGCGCAGGCGGUUAUGCAAGACAGAGGUGAAAUCCCCGGGCUCAACCUGGGAACUGCCUUUGUGACUGCAUAGCUAGAGUACGGUAGAGGGGGAUGGAAUUCCGCGUGUAGCAGUGAAAUGCGUAGAUAUGCGGAGGAACACCGAUGGCGAAGGCAAUCCCCUGGACCUGUACUGACGCUCAUGCACGAAAAGGCGUGG
rnacentral:rRNA from 1 species